rnacentral:rRNA from 1 species
UACAGAGGGUGCGAGCGUUAAUCGGAAUUACUGGGCGUAAAGCGCACGUAGUCGGCUUUGCAAGUCGGGUGUGAAAUCCCCGGGCUCAACCUGGGAACUGCAUCCGAGACUGCAUUGCUAGAGUAUGGGAGAGGGAAGCGGAAUUUCUGGUGUAGCAGUGAAAUGCGUAGAUAUCGGAAGGAACAUCAGUGGCGAAGGCGACUUCCUGGACCAAUACUGACGCUCAGGUGCGAAAGCGUGGGGAGCAAACAGG